CGCAAGGAGGGACGUGUGCAUCACGUUUCUGGGAGUUAACGGCUCUCCGGCCCCAGUUCCUAGGUCCAGGUAGGAUCCCGUGGCGCUGUGAGGGCGCUAA
rfam:Mosquito flavivirus isolate LSFlaviV-A20-09, complete genome